CACCAAAAUGCACAGGUUGUGAACUCGAAGAGUAGGGCGGGACACGUGGUAUCCUGUCUGAAUAUGGGGGGACCAUCCUCCUAGGCUAAAUACUCCUGACUGACCGAUAGUGAACCAGUACCGUGAGGGAAAGGCGAAAAGAACCCCGGCGAGGGGAGUGAAAAAGAACCAGAAACCGUGUACGUACAAGCAGUGGGAGCACCUUCGGGUGUGACUGCGUACCUUUUGUAUAAUGGGUCAGCGACUUAUAUUCUGUAGCAAGGUUAACCGUAUAGGGGAGCCGCAGGGAAACCG
rnacentral:rRNA from 1 species